GACGAACGCUGGCGGCGUGCUUAACACAUGCAAGUCGAACGGAACGGCCCUGCUGUUGUGGGGUGCUCGAGUAGCGAACGGGUGUGUAACACGUGAGUAACCUUCCCUUGACUUUGGGAUAACUUCUGGAAACUGGGGCUAAUACCGGAUAGCAGCUACUGCUGCAUGGUGGGGGAUGGAAAGUUUCGGCGGUUGGGGAUGGACUCGCGGCAUAUCAGCUUGUUGGUGGGGUAGUGGCUUACCAAGGCUUAGACGGGUAGCCGGCCUGAGAGGGUGACCGGCCACAUUGGGACUGAGAUGCGGCCCAGACUCCUACGGGAGGCAGGAGUGGAGAAUAUUGCACAACGGGCGGAAGCCUGAUGCAGCAACGCCGCGUGCGGGAAGACGGGCUUCGUGUUGGAAACCGCUUUCGCCUGUGACGAAGCGUGAGUGACGGUAAUGGGUAAAGAAGCACCGGCUAACUACGUG
rnacentral:rRNA from 1 species